AUGCUGAAAGUAUCCCAUUAGUACAAUUGCCUUCCAAGCACAUAAGUCCUCAUAAAGGUCAGCAUA
rnacentral:tRNA from 1 species